rnacentral:lncRNA from 1 species
AAAAAUCAAAAUCUCCUCCGAAGUCUCCAUCAUAAUCAGCAGCAUCAGAGACAAUAUCUCCGAUUAAAAGCCCACCAAGCAUUCCGCCAAGCAAUCCAGUUCCAAAUCCCAGUCCCCCAUUACUCUUCUUCUGUGGCUUCACAGGCGGGUACCCGUAUCCCUGUUGUGGCGGUGGAGGCGGGUACCCGUAUCCCGGUUGUUGCGGUGGGUAUGCACCAUUCGGCGCCGCUCCUUGAGGGGGUUGUGGUGGGUAACCGUUCCUUGCCUGAGGCAGCGAGGGGUAAGCGUGAGCCAUCGGCGCCGGAUAAGCAGUCACGGGCUCGCCGGGAGGAGGAGGAGGAGGAGGAGGAAUCCAAGAGCUCCUUGAUCGGGACGAUUACUUCGCCGACGGUUUUAUCGCCGAGUAAGCCGUCGCUCUUGAUCUUGAAAUCGAGCGUGAGGCGAUUCUGCUGGGCCAAGGACUCGUUGAAGGUGAACUUAAUCGGGAAAUUCCACGUGGGGUUUGAACCGCCGGAUCGGUCCACGUGCGUCUUGACUUUCUGUUUCUUGAUGGUGUGGUCGCCCGAGAUCGAAACGACGGCGUACACGUCCAUCUUGGAGAUGAAGUGGACGUCUUUGAGGUGUUUUGCGGAGAUCACGUUGAGAUCUAAAGUUCUGUAAGAGGCCAUAAUUGCUAAUAACUUUUGAGAGAACUGAAGAUUUUUCAAAAGAUCGCUUUCUGCGGAUUGAGAAAAUUAGCGGAGGCUAUAACACGAUGCGGUGUAUUUAUACCGUCAAUGCGGACUUAUCCUCCGGCCUUUGUAAAAUACCAAGGAAAAGCAACAAAGUCCGCGUCAACGCGUUUGGUUGGGAACUGUGCGCCCGUAAACAACAUAAUAACAUUCAGAUCCAUAGCUUUUCCAUAUUUUUUCAAAUGACGAAAUAUUUAUAUAGUGGAUGAGGUCUUUGAUUCUCAUUCAAAAACUAUUUCUUAAAAACAAUUAAACAACUUAACUGGUUCAAGACAUUUCAAUAGGGCAUAGGGACAUAUUUGACAUUAAUGUAUAAAAUAUAACAUUAUUUAAGAAAGUAUAAAAAGUAAGGGACCCUUUUUCGUUUUUGGGAAAUGAGGGACCCAGAUUUGAUUGUUUCUUUUGCGCCCUGACUUAACCAUGGUUAAGUAUGUUGUUUUUUUUUUUCCGGGGCGGUUAGUAAAUUCUUUAGAUUAUUCUCAAGUUGUGUGGAAGUGGAAUGGUCUGCCAUUUGACUGUUAGAUAUUUGUUGUAUUUUAUUUAUAAAUUCUAUAGUUUGCCGAAACACGAGAUCGAAUCGUAUAAGAUUCGCAAUGGAAUCAAGUACGCUAUUCCCACCAAAUUCUGAAAACGUCCAAGCAAAAUUGAAUGUCGGAACUGAACCUGAAAGUAGCUGUAAUCUUUAAAUCAUGCUUUAUUAUUUUGUGGGUGUUGGCUUGGUACUGUAAGGCGGGCGCCUACCUUCCCCUGUAAGGCCAAGGCACCUGCCUUCCCAUUGUAAAUCAUAAGAAAUUGUCAACGUCACACCAAUUGGACGCGGUCGGAGCUUUGAUAUUCUUUUCCUAUCAUAGAAUUUCUAGAUUACAAUCACGAUAACGAUUGCUUUUGCGUACCAAUGACGGAUUCCUAUUACCAACUUUCUUAGCUCCCAAGUAAUUCAAAUCAGUCUUAAACUUCAAUUUGCUAUGUGUAUAUUAACUUCUAAUAAAAAUCAUAGGUGCCUAGAUCCAAUCUUCAGAGUGUGAUGGGCACAUAUCCUCAUGACCUUUUCAAGUCGGCCACAAUUUCAUGCCAUCUCAUCAAAAGGCUCAACAUCUGAUCCGAGAUGUCUAUGCUCACGGGAAAGAUGAGCAACCAUUCACGUGAUUAUUGAUGAUGCUCUUUGCCACAAUCUGCUCUGUGCUUGUACUUUCUUGCCCACCCGACAUAGAUUUGACAUGGGGUGUCUCAUUAUGAACAAUGGUAGCCCCAUCAUCCAGAUGCUUCUUCAGACAUGAUUUUGGCUGGACACUUGGGUGCCACAAUUGAUGCCGAGGCGCAAUAGACCUUGGUUUUGUUGAUUCACCAGUUGUCACUUGCUUCUUCACCCGUGGAGCUUCAUUAGGGACUUUAACAACAAGCUACUUGUCCAGUCAAAGAAGUGCCGAGGAUGAAGCUUCCGGGGCUUGCAAGUAAUAUUCUACUUCCAUAUUGCCAAAUAGGGGUCUGUUUUUAACCGCAUGAGCAAAUGCUGCCUCAGCGUCAGAUUUGCAUUUGAACCGAACCUGGCAGGUUGAGGAUCUCCAGAACACGCAAGGAGGAGAAUGAAGCUGUCCGAAACGUGCACAACUUGCUUUCAGCUAAACAGAGGGCAAAGCUGAUUGACUCGAGAAUUGUAUCACUAUCAUUUUGGGCUCCCUGAACUUUCUUGAAGUAUCACGCUUCUUCUGCGAAUACUUUCUCCGUUUUUCCUGGACUUUCAAGCUCAUCCGCGCACCCCUUCUCAGAGGUUUUUCAAGUUUCCUAUCGCCAGCCUCUGUCUUUUCUUCACUCAACAAUUUCAGCUCAUUCAAUCUUUUUGGUUCUUCCACAGACAUUUGUUCAGGACCUGUAAUGCUGCCGGUUAGUCCCGCAUUUCUAUAAUCGUCAGCUUUGAGCCGUUUUUUUGGGGGGCUUUAAAGCAGAAGGCAGGUCUUGAGCAGUCCUGCUGUUAGGACUCUUAGCAGCCAUACCACAGACCAUUGACUUAGUGGGACAACUUUCAAUUGUUCCAGACUCUGCUGCUGGGAUGACAGCCACUUCACAUAGACGACAGAUCUGUAUUCCAGGAAGAACUGCAGCAUGGUUGCGGGGAUAUUUUGUCGCACACUUUGAAAUGGAUUAUGAGCAAGAGCUGACAGAUAAUCAAGUAACUGAGAAUGUUUGCUAUUAACUUGUAAACCAUCUAUCUUCUCUCUAGCCUUGAAAUUUGAGGAAAAGGUGCCACAGGCUCCUUCGCCUGAUUCUCUUUUUACCUUUUUAUGACCAUUGUCCCAAUAUAUACAAUGAGUGUAACAUAUAGGUUGAAUUAUUUGCAAGCAAAUAGCAGCCCUUGCAAGAGCCAAUGUCAGAUUGAAGCAUUCGUCACAAGGACAAGCUCGAUCUAUUAUUAUUGUAAUUAAAGAGGCAUCGAUGAUACCUAUAUUUCAUUAAUAUAUAUAUAUAUAUAUAUAUACAUACAUAAUAUGGAGAAGUUUGCACAGCAGAGUCUGUCCCCCUGUUGAGUGAACCCACUACUCACUCAAAAUCACCUUUUGUUUGCUGCUCUAACAGUCCUUUUCACUUCAAUUAAACAUAUUUAAUAAUUCGCAAAUUGAAUUGCACAGAUUAUUAUUAGAUUAAAGAAGCUAUUUGUAUGUUCAUAAUUUAUUGGUCCAAUAAAGUCAUAAUAAAUACAUUUUCACCAAUCAACCACCAUUUCAGUCGAUAGGCGCUGCUCACGUCUUUCAAGCAACAAUCUUCCGUCAUUGGGUACUCCAUCAUUAUCAUGUAUAUGAGUGAGACUCUUAUUAAUUAUCACUUUACAUGUAAAAGAAUAAACAAACACUCAUUGAUUUUUUUCUCUUUUCGCAUUUCAAGAGUGAAAAACAUAUGCAAGCAAACAGAAGCACGCAGUGCAAAUUUUGGAAUGCCAGUACCACCCACGCUUGUCAAUGCUGCACGUGAGGAGCAGUUGGGCCUAAAUGCAGUCCAAAUGGGCCCCUAAUGAAUGAAAAAAGUGGGACCACUUGCAUUUUACCAACUCUAAAAGCGACCCGCUUUGUCCAAUCACGAAGGCCCAUAUGAGACAAUAGCUAACCACCACCACCACCUCGCUAGAGCAACCACUGCGUGGAGAGUUUUCGUAAAUGAAAAUUAAAAAAAAAAAAUUUAAAAAAAUUCAGUUGAAUGCUAUCUAGUGUCUAUAUAUAUGUAUAUGCAAUUGAAUCUGGUUAAGUUGAAAAUUAGAUUUUGGUGAAAGCCAAUGAAUGGUCUAUCAAUUAUUAAUAAUGAGAAAGUGAUAAGUAUCCAAUUCUUGUUACACCAAGUAAUGGAAUCUAUUUAAUAAGCAUGGAAGCUAGCGAUCGAUAUUUGAUCAUUUGGGUUUUGGUUUAAAUGAUCAUAAGUAAUGACUCCACCGAACAGGGACCACUAAAUAAUAUGAAAUGUGGUACCAACCCUUAACCUUAAUUGCACAAAUGAACUUAAAUUAUGACGGAUUGAGACCGUUUAACAAAUAUUUUUAUUGUCUUAACCUUGCUACGACCAAUAUAACUAACACGGAAGUGGGGUUCAUGUCUUAACCUUGAAUUGUUUGAAGUGGGGUUCAUGUCUGGGUAUUUAAAAAGUUCAAAAAAUUCUUCACACACAAAUCUAUUUCUUGGUUUGGCUUGUUUGACUGUUUGAGAGAGGGGGGGAAAAAAAUUGACAGCACCGAGUUACAGCUGAAGAGAAUAUUCCAUGUACAUCAUAGGAAAGAUUGAUGGAAUGUUUUACAUGAAGUCUGUCAAAUACUUGGAUAGUGGCUUUUUUAUUAUUAAUUAUAUAUAUUUACAUAUAAGUCAAAUUCGAUUGUACAUGAAUUAACGGAGUGAGUCAUGCGACAGCAAUGUUUACUAUGUGUAAUAAUCUAUUAUAUCAAACAAAUAGGUCGUGUAGUGAAGAAAAAUGGUAAUCAAAUUAGUUACUCAAAAGGUCACGAUUCCACAAAUCAAAUAAUCAACCUCACCUGACAUGGAGUUGAAGUGCGGUUCAUGUUUGGUUCUGUCAAGUGGUAGACAAAAGUUUUUGGUUUAUAUGAAAGGGAUCCUAAAUCAGAAUAUCAAUGAGAAUGAGAUCCAAGUAAAUUUCACGUGUGGCACAUUCACAGAUGUUGGAAGAGUCUGGUUUCACACAAUGUCAGCAAGAAAAUUCAUUUUACAAGAAUCCAUCGGUUGCCGAGGGUCGUCACUUUUGCUGACAUAAUUCUCAACGUUAAAUUUUUGUUUUUUUUCCUGCUACUGUUUAUUGCCUUUUCUGUAUUGGUUUACAAAGAAAGCAUCAUUGUCACUUCGAGGAGGAGUUGACACAAAAAGAAUUCAAACAAAAUAUGGUGGCUGAUGAAACCCCAUGACCCCUUUAGAAUAAUUGCUUUAAACUUGAAGCAACUUUAAAAAUUGUCCGCAAUUUAAUUAAGUUAAAAGUGCAAAAGCAAAAUAUUCUUAUCGUUCGACAUUUUAUUCUUUAGAUGCAAACGCAAUUUUUGCAGAAAGUAACAAACUAAGUAAAACUCAAAAUUCUAUUAACGGUGCAUUUGAUAUUGAGGUUGGAUUUUUGUAAUUUAAGUUACAACACUAAAGUGUUUGGUAAAUAUAGUUUGGAAGCUGCGUUGAUAUGAUUUUUUACUGGUAUAAUAGAAAAUCUAUUAUAUCUUUAAUAAUUUUGUCAAAAUCAUUAUUUAAAAUUUAUAUUUACUACUUGUUGUUAAUUUUUGUUUCCUAAUUAUAGUUUUUUUUUCUAUAACAACUGUAAUUUAAAAGUUAUAUCACCUAAAUUCUAAUUAGGACCUAAGAGAACAUAAAAUAUAAAAAGUAAAAAUUCCCAAAAAUCUCCUCCAUCAAAAUUAAGUAGCAGUAGAAAUAAUAUCCUAUCAUAAAACCCAACUGUGUCAACAAAUUAAAUCAUUCUAAUUAUAGAUAAAAUUUUACUUUAAACUUCAAGCAACUUUAAAAAUUGUCCGCAAUUUAAUUAAGUUCAAAGUGCAAAAGCACAACAUUCUUAUCGUUCCACAUUUUAUUCAUUAGCUUUUUCAAGAAUUAACAAAGUAAAACAUAAGAUCCUACUAAGAGAAUAUAAGAUAUAAAAAGUGAAAAUCCCCAAAAUCUCCUCCAUUACCAUAAAAAAUGAUAUCUUAAAAACCUCAAACAUUCUUCCGCACAAACCCAGCUCCAAACCCCAUUCCCCACGUUAUUCUUUAAUAUUAUAGUCAUUCUCUCAUAUGCAUUCGUGUCAAAAAAUUAAAACAUUCUAACUAUAGAUAAAAUUUUGCGACUUAGGCUCCCAAACCAAAACCAAACCUUAACUUAUUGACAUCCAACGGAUAAUCUCACUUGAGGUUCAUUCACAUACAAUACUUUUCAAGAGCCUAGUUUGGUUUGCCUCAAUGGUAGCAAGAAAUUUUAGAGACAAGAUUGAACAAGCACCCAUCAUUUAAUCCUAAGUGCUAUAGUUAAGUUCAUAACAUUGCCAUUUUUAUUCAUGUGUGUAGAGAACAAAAAGAAUUCAGAGGCCCAAGCGAAAGCAACAAUAUCACUUCAAGAAGGAUCCCAACAACGGCCAUAACAGCACCCCAUGGCCCCUUCAGAAUAGUGAAGUAAUAAACUUGAAAGCUGCUUUAAAAAUUUCCCAUUUAUGUAGUACAUAGAUCACAAAAUUUGAGUGUACAUAAACAUUAAAUCGCUCAUUUUCAUUGACAACCAUUAAAGUGCAAAGCAAAAUAUUCUAUAUGUACAUUCCACAUUUUAUUCUUAAUGUACGUAAGGAAAAGCUAAUAUAUAUAACAAAGAGAAAAGUAAAAUCCAAAAUAACUAAGUCCAAAUACCAUAUGGUAUUUAAAAAAAAAAGUAGUCAAAAUACCGUAAUAAUAAUAAUAAACUAUUAAACUAUCUAAAAAAUUAGCAGAAAAUAAAAUUCAAAAAUCAAAAUCUCCUCCGAAGUCUCCUCCAAAAUCUCCAUCAUAAUCAGCAGCAUUAGAGACAAUAUCUCCAAUUAAAAGCCCACCAAGCAUUCCGCCAAGCAAUCCAGUUCCAAAUCCCAGUCCCCCAUUACUCUUCUUCUGUGGCUUCACAGGCGGGUACCCGUAUCCCUAUUGUGGCGGUGGAGGCGAGUACCCGUAUCCCUGUUGUGGUGCAGGCGGGUACCCGUAUCCCUGUUGUGGCGGUGGAGGCGGGUACCCGUAUCCCGGUUGUUGCGGUGGGUAUGCACCAUUCGGCGCCGCUACUUGAGGGGGUUGCGUGGUGGGUAACCGUUCCUUGCCUGAGGCAGCGAGGGGUAAGCGUGAGCCAUCGGCGCCGGAUAAGCAGUCACGGGCUCGCCGGCCUUGGCGUGCUUUUUCCCAACGGUGGGUUCAUUGAACUUGUACGAGAAGUGUAACUCGCCCUUGGGUUUUUCCAACGACGAGCGGACUUGGUAAGUAACGAACUUCAUCGAUAUAGCGUCUCCCGAGGAGGAGGAGGAGGAGGAAUCCAAGAGCUCCUCGUAUCCCUGUUGUGGCGAUGGAGGCGGGUACCCGUAUCCCUGUUGUGGCGGUGGAGGCGGGUACCCGUAUCCCGGUUGUUGCGGUGGGUAUGCACCAUUCGGCGCCGCUACUUGAGGGGGUUGCGGUGGGUAAUCGUACCCUGCCUGAGGUUGUGGGGGGUAAGCGUAAGGCACAAAGCUCGAUCCGGCUGCCAUCUGUGCCAGAUAAGCAGUCACGGGCUCGUCGGCCUUGGCGUGCGUUUUCCCGAUGGUGGGUUCAC